GACGAACGCUGGCGGCGUGCCUAAUACAUGCAAGUAGAACGCUGAAGGAGGAGCUUGCUUCUCCGGAUGAGUUGCGAACGGGUGAGUAACGCGUAGGUAACCUGCCUGGUAGCGGGGGAUAACUAUUGGAAACGAUAGCUAAUACCGCAUAAGAGUAGAUGUCGCAUGACAUUUGCUUAAAAGGUGCAACUGCACCACUACCAGAUGGACCUGCGUUGUAUUAGCUAGUUGGUGAGGUAACGGCUCACCAAGGCAACGAUACAUAGCCGACCUGAGAGGGGGAUCGGCCACACUGGGACUGAGACACGGCCCAGACUCCUACGGGAGGCAGCAGUAGGGAAUCGUCGGCAAGAGACGGAAGUCUGACCGAGCAACGCCGCGUGAGUGAAGAAGGUUUUCGGAUCGUAAAGCUCUGUUGUAAGAGAAGAACGAGUGUGAGAGUGGAAAGUUCACACUGUGACGGUAUCUUACCAGAAAGGGACGGCUAACUACGUG
rnacentral:rRNA from 1 species